CACGUAGGGGACGAGCGUUGUCCGGAUUCAUUGGGCGUAAAGCGCGCGUAGGCGGCUCGGAAAGUCGGGCGUGAAAUGCCGGGGCUCAACCCCGGGACUGCGUUUGAUACGUGCGGACUUGAGUGCGGAAGAGGGUCGUGGAAUUCCCAGUGUAGAGGUGAAAUUCGUAGAUAUUGGGAAGAACACCGGUGGCGAAGGCGGCGACCUGGUCCGAUACUGACGCUGAGGCGCGAAAGCGUGGGGAGCAAACAGG
rnacentral:rRNA from 1 species